CUGGCCACACCUGGCCAGAAGCUGGGGAGAGGAGAGCACAGUGGUUAAGUCAGUCCCUGCAGGGAGACGGCACCAGAAAAACCUGGCCUGUGGAUGAGUCCCGGCCUGGCAGCCAUGGAGCAGAGAGCUCUGGAAGCAACGAAGGCCCGAGUCUGCUCAGGGAAGAGCGGGCAGCAGCCCCAGGGCCGGACAGUGACCAAGAGUGGCACUGCCGAUGGCCCAAUGGGUCUUUGCCCAUGGAUCCCCCAGCUCCUGGAGACAGGGUCUGUGUGCCUGGCCAUGCAGGCAGGCCCCACACUUGGGGGAGGCCACUGUGGAGCUCUGUGCAGCGCCCCGGGCGGGAGCCCGCUGCUCACGAAGGUCCGGCCACGGCUGCUCUUGUUUGCCCUCCCCUGCAGAGUGUCCGAGCCGCACCCAGCCUCUUGGCGUCUACCUGCUGCCCCCUGCCCUGCAGGACCUGUGGCUCCGGGACAAAGCCACCUUCACCUGCUUCGUGGUGGGCAGUGACCUGCAGGAUGCCCACCUGUCCUGGGAGGUGGCCGGGAAGGUCCCCACAGUGGGCAUGGAGGAGGGGCCACUGGAGCAGCACAGCAACGGCUCCCAGAGCCAGCACAGCCGUCUGGCCCUGCCCAGGUCCUUGUGGAAGGCGGGGACCUCCGUCACCUGCACACUGAACCAUCCCAGCCUCCCAUCCCAGAAGUUGAUGGCGCUGAGAGAACCCGCUGCCCAGGCACCCGUCAAGCUUUCCCUGAACCUGCUGGCCUCAUCUGACCCUCCCGAGGCGGCCUCGUGGCUCCUGUGUGAGGUGUCUGGCUUCUCGCCCCCUGACAUCCUCCUGAUGUGGCUGGAGGACCAGCGCGAGGUGAACACUUCUUGGUUUGCCACCGCACGCCCCACUCCACAGCCCGGGAGCACCACGUUCUGGGCCUGGAGUGUGCUGCAUGUCCCAGCCCCGCCCAGCCCUCAGCCAGCCACCUACAUGUGUGUGGUCAGCCACGAGGACUCCCGGACUCUGCUUAACGCCAGCUGGAGCCUAGACGUCAGCUACCUGGCCACGACCCCCUUGAUCCCUCAGAGCAAGGAUGAGAACAGCGAUGACUACACGACCUUUGAUGACGUGGGCAGCCUGUGGACCACCCUGUCCACGUUCGUGGCCCUCUUCAUCCUCACCCUCCUCUACAGCGGCAUUGUCACUUUCAUCAAGGUGAAGUAACCCCUGAAGAGCAGGACGCCCUGUACCUGCAGAGAAGGGAAGCGGCCUCUGUGCCUCAUCCGUGGCUGCCAGAGAGCAGAAAGGACCCACCCUGGACUCUGCUGUGUGCAGGAAGAUGCGCCAGCCCCUGCCCCCAGCUCCCGUCUGUCCGCCACAGAACCCAGUCUUCUAGACCAGGGGGACGGGCACCCAUCACUCCGCAGGCGAAGCAGAGCCCCCCUGCCCCGGCCCUAACCCCUGUGCCUCCUUCCUGUCCUUCCCCCAGAGCCAGCUAGCCCCACCUGCAGCCCCCUGGCCUCCCCAUAAACACGCUUUGGUUCAUUUC